AUAAUGGGUCAGCGACUUAUAUUCUGUAGCAAGGUUAACCGAAUAGGGGAGCCGAAGGGAAACCGAGUCUUAACUGGGCGUUAAGUUGCAGGGUAUAGACCCGAAACCCGGUGAUCUAGCCAUGGGCAGGUUGAAGGUUGGGUAACACUAACUGGAGGACCGAACCGACUAAUGUUGAAAAAUUAGCGGAUGACUUGUGGCUGGGGGUGAAAGGCCAAUCAAACCGGGAGAUAGCUGGUUCUCCCCGAAAGCUAUUUAGGUAGCGCCUCGUGAAUUCAUCUCCGGGGGUAGAGCACUGUUUCGGCAAGGGGGUCAUCCCGACUUACCAACCCGAUGCAAACUGCGAAUACCGGAGAAUGUUAUCACGGGAGACACACGGCGGGUGCUAACGUCCGUCGUGAAGAGGGAAACAACCCAGACCGCCAGCUAAGGUCCCAAAGUCAUGGUUAAGUGGGAAACGAUGUGGGAAGGCCCAGACAGCCAGGAUGUUGGCUUAGAAGCAGCCAUCAUUUAAAGAAAGCGUAAUAGCUCACUGGUCGAGUCGGCCUGCGCGGAAGAUGUAACGGGGCUAAACCAUGCACCGAAGCUGCGGCAGCGACGCUGAUGCGUUGUUGGGUAGGGGAGCGUUCUGUAAGCCUGCGAAGGUGUGCUGUGAGGCAUGCUGGAGGUAUCAGAAGUGCGAAUGCUGACAUAAGUAACGAUAAAGCGGGUGAAAAGCCCGCUCGCCGGAAGACCAAGGGUUCCUGUCCAACGUUAAUCGGGGCAGGGUGAGUCGACCCCUAAGGCGAGGCCGAAAGGCGUAGUCGAUGGGAAACAGGUUAAUAUUCCUGUACUUGGUGUUACUGCGAAGGGGGGACGGAGAAGGCUAUGUUGGCCGGGCGACGGUUGUCCCGGUUUAAGCGUGUAGGCUGGUUUUCCAGGCAAAUCCGGAAAAUCAAGGCUGAGGCGUGAUGACGAGGCACUGCGGUGCUGAAGCAACAAAUGCCCUGCUUCCAGGAAAAGCCUCUAAGCAUCAGGUAACAUCAAAUCGUACCCCAAACCGACACAGGUGGUCAGGUAGAGAAUACCAAGGCGCUUGAGAGAACUCGGGUGAAGGAACUAGGCAAAAUGGUGCCGUAACUUCGGGAGAAGGCACGCUGAUAUGUAGGUGAAGUCCCUCGCGGAUGGAGCUGAAAUCAGUCGAAGAUACCAGCUGGCUGCAACUGUUUAUUAAAAACACAGCACUGUGCAAACACGAAAGUGGACGUAUACGGUGUGACGCCUGCCCGGUGCCGGAAGGUUAAUUGAUGGGGUUAGCGCAAGCGAAGCUCUUGAUCGAAGCCCCGGUAAACGGCGGCCGUAACUAUAACGGUCCUAAGGUAGCGAAAUUCCUUGUCGGGUAAGUUCCGACCUGCACGAAUGGCGUAAUGAUGGCCAGGCUGUCUCCACCCGAGACUCAGUGAAAUUGAACUCGCUGUGAAGAUGCAGUGUACCCGCGGCAAGACGGAAAGACCCCGUGAACCUUUACUAUAGCUUGACACUGAACAUUGAGCCUUGAUGUGUAGGAUAGGUGGGAGGCUUUGAAGUGUGGACGCCAGUCUGCAUGGAGCCGACCUUGAAAUACCACCCUUUAAUGUUUGAUGUUCUAACGUUGACCCGUAAUCCGGGUUGCGGACAGUGUCUGGUGGGUAGUUUGACUGGGGCGGUCUCCUCCUAAAGAGUAACGGAGGAGCACGAAGGUUGGCUAAUCCUGGUCGGACAUCAGGAGGUUAGUGCAAUGGCAUAAGCCAGCUUGACUGCGAGCGUGACGGCGCGAGCAGGUGCGAAAGCAGGUCAUAGUGAUCCGGUGGUUCUGAAUGGAAGGGCCAUCGCUCAACGGAUAAAAGGUACUCCGGGGAUAACAGGCUGAUACCGCCCAAGAGUUCAUAUCGACGGCGGUGUUUGGCACCUCGAUGUCGGCUCAUCACAUCCUGGGGCUGAAGUAGGUCCCAAGGGUAUGGCUGUUCGCCAUUUAAAGUGGUACGCGAGCUGGGUUUAGAACGUCGUGAGACAGUUCGGUCCCUAUCUGCCGUGGGCGCUGGAGAACUGAGGGGGGCUGCUCCUAGUACGAGAGGACCGGAGUGGACGCAUCACUGGUGUUCGGGUUGUCAUGCCAAUGGCACUGCCCGGUAGCUAAAUGCGGAAGAGAUAAGUGCUGAAAGCAUCUAAGC
rnacentral:rRNA from 1 species